rnacentral:rRNA from 1 species
GACGAACGCUGGCGGCGUGCUUAACACAUGCAAGUCGAACGGAAAGGCCCUGCUUUUGUGGGGUGCUCGAGUGGCGAACGGGUGAGUAACACGUGAGUAACCUGCCCUUGACUUUGGGAUAACUUCAGAAAACUGGGGCUAAUACCGGAUAGGAGCUCCUGCUGCAUGGGGGGGGUUGGAACGUUUCGGCGGUUGGGGAUGGACUCGCGGCUUAUCAGCUUGUUGGUGGGGUAGUGGCUUACCAAGGCUUUGACGGGUAGCCGGCCUGAGAGGGUGACCGGCCACAUGGGGACUGAGAGACGGCCCAGACUGCUACGGGAGGCAGCAGUGGGGAAUAUUGCACAAUGGGCGGAAGCCUGAUGCAGCAACGCCGCGUGCGGGAUGACGGCCUUCGGGUUGUAAACCGCUUUCGCCUGUGACGAAGCGUGAGUGACGGUAAUGGGUAAAGAAGCACCGGCUAACUACGUG